rnacentral:rRNA from 1 species
CCUACGGGAGGCUGCAGUGGGGAAUAUUGCGCAAUGGGCGAAAGCCUGACGCAGCGACGCCGCGUGAGGGAUGAAGGUCUUCGGAUCGUAAACCUCUGUCAGCAGGGAAGAACGGUCACUGUGCUAAUCAGCAGUGAAUUGACGGUACCUGCAACGGAAGCACCGGCUAACUCCGUGCCAGCAGCCGCGGUAAUACGGAGGGUGCGAGAGUUAAUCGGAAUUACUGGGCGUAAAGCGCUCGUAGGCGGUAUGUCAAGUCAAGGGUGAAAUCCCCGCGCUCAACGUGGGAACUACCUUGGAAACUGGCAAACUGGAGUGUGUGAGAGGAUAGUGGAAUGCCAGGUGUAGGAGUGAAAGCCGUAGAUAUCUGGAGGAACACCAGUGGCGAAGGCGACUAUCUGGCACAUAACUGACGCUGAGGAGCGAAAGCGUGGGUAGCAAACAGGAUUAGAUACCCGGGUAGUC